UGGGGAAUUUUCCGCAAUGGGCGAAAGCCUGACGGAGCAAUACCGCGUGAGGGAGGAAGGCUCUUGGGUUGUAAACCUCAAAACUUAGGGAAGAAAAAAAUGACGGUACCUAAUGUAAGCAUCGGCUAACUCCGUGCCAGCAGCCGCGGUAAUACGGAGGAUGCAAGCGUUAUCCGGAAUCAUUGGGCGUAAAGAGUCCGUAGGUGGCACUUCAAGUCUGCUUUCAAAGACCGAAGCUCAACUUCGGAAAGGGAGUGGAAACUGAAGAGCUAGAGUAUAGUAGGGGUAGAGGGAAUUCCUAGUGUGGCGGUGAAAUGCGUAGAGAUUAGGAAGAACACCAGUGGCGAAGGCGCUCUACUGGGCAUAUACUGACACUGAGGGACGAAAGCUAGGGGAGCGAAAGGGAUUAGAUACCCCUGUAGU
rnacentral:rRNA from 1 species